rnacentral:tmRNA from 1 species
GGGGGUGCACUGGAUUCGACGGGGGUCAAGAGGCUGUAGAGGCGUGCCGAGUUGUCCGCGACUCGUAAAUAUCGUGGAAACUAAAUAUAACUGCUGAAAAUC